rnacentral:lncRNA from 1 species
GGACGAGAGGAAGCAAUCAUUAUUAGACUAGAUGAGUGCCUGUGAAGCUUGCAUUAAUGCUGAGGUGCUGAAUUGUAGAUUCAUUCUAUAUACAAUGACAUUUUCUAAAAAAGGCAUUCAUUCUUCACUCAACCAUUCAUUGACUUCAUAUCUCUUGCUUUUACCAAUUCAACGCAUGUUGCAGCUAAAAUCGGAGUUGGAGAAUGUGGUGAAGCUGAGGAACGAGACUCUGGCCACGUAGCGAGCUGUUGAAGCUAAGCAAGCUUCACAUUGAUGAAAGUAAGAUGCGGUCGAGAGAGAAAAGGAGUUGGAAAAUACCUUGGCUUAUAAGGAAUGUUCUGAUGUAGUUUGCAAGCUAAAACUUGAGGCUAUGAAGAUAUGGGGAAAGAAGGCCAAUGCCCAUGCUAAAUCAGAGAAAAAAAGGGCUUCAAAGAAGAAAAGUGAGCUGAUAAAGAGGUGCUCGAGCUACCAGGAUGGUCGAAGAGUAGAAGGAAGUUUCCAACAUUUGAUGAUUUAGCCUAAGAUGCCUAUGUAAUUGGGUUAUCGAGGUGUUCGAACAUAUAGAGAGGAUGAGGUUGGGUUUUGACGUUGGUUUCCUCCAUGAAGUUAGCUUAUUAGAAGAAUUUUUUUUUCCCAAAUGUUAGCUGCAACCUCUUAUCCACCUGCUUCAAACGUCAAACCUCCAAUGUGACUGUCCCUGCUCAAGGAAAUCUUCACUUACCUAGUAUUGUUGCUAUUUUAUUAUGCU